UACGAAGGGUGCAAGCGUUACUCGGAAUUACUGGGCGUAAAGCGUGCGUAGGUGGUUUGUUAAGUCUGAUGUGAAGGCCCUGGGCUCAACCUGGGAAUUGCAUUGGAUACUGGCAGGCUAGAGUGCGGUAGAGGAUGGCGGAAUUCCCGGUGUAGCAGUGAAAUGCGUAGAGAUCGGGAGGAACAUCUGUGGCGAAGGCGGCCAUCUGGACCAGCACUGACACUGAGGCACGAAAGCGUGGGGAGCAAACAGG
rnacentral:rRNA from 1 species